GAUGAACGCUGGCGGCGUGCCUAAUACAUGCAAGUCGAACGCUUUGUCUUUAAUUGAUAUGAAGAGCUUGCUCUGAUUUGAUUUUAUCUGACAAAGAGUGGCGAACGGGUGAGUAACACGUGGGUAACCUACCUCUUAGCAGGGGAUAACAUUUGGAAACAAGUGCUAAUACCGUAUAACACUAACAACCGCAUGGUUGUUAGUUGAAAGAUGGUUCUGCUAUCACUAAGAGAUGGACCCGCGGUGCAUUAGCUAGUUGGUAAGGUAAUGGCUUACCAAGGCGAUGAUGCGUAGCCGAGUUGAGAGAAUGAUCGGCCACAAUGGGACUGAGACACGGCCCAUACUCCUACGGGAGGCAGCAGUAGGGAAUCUUCCACAAUGGGCGCAAGCCUGAUGGAGCAACGCCGCGUGUGUGAUGAAGGGUUUCGGCUCGUAAAACACUGUUAUAAGAGAAGAACGACAUUGAGAGUAACUGUUCAGUGUGUGACGGCAUCUUAUCAGAAAGGAACGGCUAAAUACGUG
rnacentral:rRNA from 1 species